rnacentral:lncRNA from 1 species
AAACAAACAAAAAUAUAAAACAAUAACCAAUAACAAGGUUUGUUUCGAUAGAUAUGUAUAUACAGAGUAAUGAACAAUAAUAUUUAUCGUCUAACAAUGAGAGGGAGGAAGGGAUGGACUCUCGAUAUUUGGGCCAGUAGGUAGUCAAGCCCAACAAAAUUCUCACAAGUAGCAGACUCCAAAGAGCAGGAAAAGAAAUGACCCAGGUCUGGAAGUUGGGCUUGAUCUUCAAAUGGUCUCAGCAGGCCCAAUUCAAAUAUGCAUGGUAAAAAGAAAGAGGGAACAAUUAGUAUACAUCAACAUAAGAAGCAAAAUAAAUUAUGGAAGGUAAGUAAAGAUCUGAAAAGACAUAGUAUGAUUCUAGUUUUCAUUUUUCUGCCAACCCUAUGAAGAUUAGUUAAGGUUAAUGAUCAAACGCUUAGGGUGAACCAUAUUUUAUUUAUGAAAUCUCCUAUGGACACCUUACACUUCAGAGUUCACAAGGGUCUCAAGGACCCCGAGCAGUGCUUGUUCCAGGGAGGAGUACCUCGAUAACAAAACAAGUUCACACCCAAAUACCCUUAGUCAUCCACUCUUACUAUUCCUCAAAGGCUUAGACAUAAAUGAAACUGUCAACUACUUGAAAUAAAUAGCUAUAGAGGACAUUACAUUAUCAUUAGAGUACCAAGAUAUGAACGGCUCAGAACCAUUCACAAUAUUAACCUUGGGGCAUGUUGGCAGAACACUAAUACAAAGAUAGAUCACUACAACUAAACUUCUAGUAUUCCAAUAAUAUCAGGGGCCUUAAGGCUGAUCCUAGCAUGCAUAAGAGAACUUAAGUGGAUCAUAACUAAGAUGCAGUCAUAGAACAAAGAGAACUAGUUGCAUAUUAUCAGUAGGUAGGUGCUAGAUUUAAUCACCUCAAAUUCAAAAAUGCCCUAACUUUGUUCAUUCUAUUAAAGGUUUAGUACUUUAGGAUCUUUAAAUAGAUUCAGAUUACUUAGAGCAAGUCAAUAGGUAUUUUAAUAGAUUUUCAGAACAGUUUAGAGCAAAUAUAUAUAUAUAUAACUGAGAUUCCACAUCACUAAGCACUUAUACUUGCAGCCUUGUUCAGACUUUCUAAGGAUGAGAGCAACCAACAGGGACACCAACAUGAAUAUAAAGAUUAGUUUAGUCUUUUUAGACCUAAUGACAUGAUGUCUUGUUGUAACAACACAUAGUCUAUCAGAUUUUCAAACUACCAGAUCCAAACUAUUUUAGAUUCUCAAUUAAGUUCUUCUAUAAACAGUGAUGUCAACAAACAUGAGAUGGCAAACAAUGACAGUCAUUUCAAUUUGCAAGGGGUAAGGCAAACAUAUCACAAUGAGUUUACUUGAACAUAUGAGUAGUUCUACUAGCAAGUUACACCAACAAACUUUCAUUUUAGAUCCUACAUGCAUAAUACAUGUUCAUCAAUAUUCAGUCAAGUUAUUGAGUUAUUGAGGCAGGCAGUACUCAAGUUGACAAGAGGAGUCUUCCUAAACAGUGUCUUGAGCAUUACAUGAUCUUGAGAGAACUAGAAAACAUAAAUGGCCAAAACAACAAGUAGAUAAUUAAUAUCAUUUUAGAUGAACAAAUAAGAUUAUAGUGAUACCUUAGGUCAACAUUUGUCAAGUAUUCACAAUUUAUGAGGCUAUCAUGAUAGACUACUUUCUUUUAGCUGAACAAAACCAACAUGAGGCCAAAUAUGGCUGUUAUAUAAAGUUUCCAACUUAGGCAGAUAGAUUAGCAUAAUAGGGUAGGCAUGCUGUUGGGAAGACCUUUUGAAUUACCAAGGAAUCACAUGCAAGUUGACGUAGUAGUUUGAACAUGGAAC